UACGAAGGGGGCAAGCGUUGUUCGGAAUUACUGGGCGUAAAGGGUUCGUAGGCGGUGCGGUAAGUCGGAAGUGAAAUCUCUGGGCUUAACUCAGAGGCUGCUUUCGAAACUGCCGUGCUGGAGUGCGGGAGAGGCGAGUGGAAUUGCAGGUGUAGCGGUGAAAUGCGUAGAUAUCUGCAGGAACACCCGUGGCGAAGGCGGCUCGCUGGACCGCAACUGACGCUGAGGAACGAAAGCUAGGGGAGCAAACAGG
rnacentral:rRNA from 1 species